rnacentral:lncRNA from 1 species
GACCAUCCAGCCUCAUCCAGACAUAGAGCGACAGACUAGAGAAAGGAGUCUUUCUGGAACAACAGGUGCUUAAUAAACAGCAAGUUCUCUUCUCAUCCUCAAGCAAGCUGAAGAAAUGAGGAAUAGAAAGGAGAGU